rnacentral:rRNA from 1 species
GACGAACGCUGGCGGCGCGCUUAACACAUGCAAGUCGAGCGAGAACCAGGGCUUCGGCCCUGGGGACAGCGGCGAACGGGUGAGUAACACGUGGGUCAUCUGCCCUCGGCACCGGAAUAGCCCGGGGAAACCCGGAUUAAUGCCGGAUGGCCCGCCCGCUCUUCGGGGCGGUCGGAAAAGGUAGCUUCGGCCUCCGGCCGAGGAUGAGCCCGCGGCGGAUUAGCUAGUCGGUGGGGUAAUGGCCCACCGAGGCGACGAUCCGUAGCUGGUCUGAGAGGACGAUCAGCCACACUGGGACUGAGACACGGCCCAGACUCCUACGGGAGGCAGCAGUGGGGAAUCUUGCGCAAUGGGCGAAAGCCUGACGCAGCGACGCCGCGUGAGGGAAGAAGGCUUUCGGGUUGUAAACCUCUUUCAGGAGGGACGAAGCUACUCGGGUGAAUAGCCCAGAGGGUGACGGUACCUCCAGAAGAAGCCCCGGCUAACUACGUGCCAGCCGCCGCCGUAA